GAGCACGUAGGUGGGUUUGUAAGUCAGAUGUGAAAGCCUUCUGUUCAACGGAAGAAUUGCAUCUGAAACUACAAACCUUGAGUAUAGGAGGGGAGAAUGGAACUUCUGGUGGGGCGGUGAAAUGCGUAGAUAUCAGAAGGAACGCCGGCGGCGAAAGCGAUUCUCUGGCCUAUUACUGACACUCAGUGUGCGAAAGCUAGGGGAGCAAACGGGAUUAGAUACCCCGGUAGUCCUAGCCGUAAACGAUGGGCACUAAGUAGAGGGGUUUU
rnacentral:rRNA from 1 species